rnacentral:lncRNA from 1 species
AUUGAAUGGGUUGACAUGUCAUAAAUGUUUCUAUAUUGUUGUAUGGUCGAAUAAAGCUUGUGUAAUAUAUUUUUUUUAAAUAAAUAUGAAUUCAUACUGACUACAUAAAAGUCAUGGCCCGUACAAGUGUUUCUUAUCAAAAACCACAAUUAUCGUCCUUGAGGUCAAAGUUCAAGGUCACAUGAAGGUCAAAAUUUUAAGAAGGCACACCACCUCAUGAUGAUACAUGUUCAUCCACAUGCCAAAGAUGUAAGGCCUAGGUCAAACGGCAAAGAAGUUAUGGCCUACAUGGUUGUGUUUUUCACGGAAAAAAA